rnacentral:misc_RNA from 1 species
GAAAAGAAAAGAAAAGAAAAGAAAUCCAUUUUAGGUUUAAGAUUGUCUGGAUUUUAACUAGUAACUAACAAGUUAUGCAACACAUCAAUAUGCACAUUUGCAACUUCUGUAUUACUUGUAAGCAUUGCAGGAAUAGUUAGAAUAUGCAUUGGAUAAGAACAGACAACUAUAUGUUUAUGUUCAUGCAUGCACAACCAUUGCGCUGCAAAUCAGUAGCAAGUAAUUUUGGCAUGAAUUGAUAUAAAUAGCAAAAGGACUCUAGUUUCCAUCAAUCCACGAACAUGUAUUUUUGCCCGUUUGAGAAUAAAUGCAAUGCAAGCAAGCAUGUUGCUUGAAUAGGAACAUAGUGCAUUAUUAGCCAUGCAGACCACUGCACUGGGUUGUACCAUACCCAUUCAACCAGGUUUU